rnacentral:rRNA from 1 species
UCUUGGAUGGGACCUGCGGUGCAUUAGCAGUUGUAGGGUAAACGGGCUACCAAGGCGAUGAUGCAUAGCCGAGUUGAGAGACUGAUCGGCCACAUUGGGACUGAGACACGGCCCAAACUCCUACGGGAGGCAGCAGUAGGGAAUCUUCCACAAUGGACGCAAGUCUGAUGGAGCAACGCCGCGUGAGUGAAGAAGGGUUUCGGCUCGUAAAGCUCUGUUGUUGGUGAAGAAGGACAGGGGGUAGUAACUGACCUUUGUUUGACGGUAAUCAAUUAGAAAGUCACGGCUAACUACGUGCCAGCAGCCGCGGUAAAU